ensembl:lncRNA
UUAUUAUAAAAUAAGAUAAAUUCCCAUGCAUUUGGGAUGAUUUAAAUAUGUUUCCUUACAAAAUCAGGAAAAUUGGCUGAUUUAUGAUUUGCUUCAAUAUACUGGGUUUACAAUUGGAGAAGACCUGCUUUCCAAGAAAAAAAUUGUGUAUGCCUCAUCUACCUUAUCAAGUCGAAGAACUGUGGGAAAAUUUUGGUUGUGGAUUGUACUGUGUAUUGACUAUCCAAAUAAAUAAGACGUUUCCUUGGGUUGUCAUCCUAUAUCCAAUUUUCUCUUUCUGUGUUUGUGUUUAUCAGGGUUCUCCAGAGAGACAGAACCAACAUAAAGGAUAAAUUAAAUAGACAGAUAGCUAGCUAGAUAGCUAGCUAGCUAGCUAGAUAGAUGACAUGAGACUUAUUAGGUGAAUUGGCUCACAUAGUUAUGGAGGUUGAGAAGUCCCAUGAUAGGCUGUCAGCAAGCAGAAGAACCUGGAACCCAGCAGCAUGGCUGAUCAAGUCUGAAGGUUUCAGGAUCAGCUAAACCGAAUUUGCCUUUCUCCUGAGUUUUUAUUCUCUCCAUGCCCUCCCAUAUUAAAGAGUAGAACUUGCGCAUUCAGUCCACCAACUCACACACCAAUCUUCUGCUGAAGCACCCUCACGAACACAUCCAUAAAUAAAGCUUUACCAACUCUCUAGGUAUCACUUAAUUUAGUCAAAUUCAGAUAAGAAUAAACUUCAUGAGGAGUAGUUCUAAAAAAAUGAUUGUUACUUAAAGUAUAAAAGAAAUAAAGGAAAAUAUGAGAAAUGCGUAUUUGACAGAUUUUGGGUGUGUAUGCGAUUUUUAACAAAGUUUUAUAAUAACAUAACAUGAUUUUUUCAAUUCUUGUUUAACAAUAUGAUUAUAAAGAAAAUUGUUCUUAAAAAUGAGUGUUAAUAGUUCUGGUAAACAAAGCAACAACAAGAACAAACUAUAAGAUCAAGGAAAGGAUGAAAAUCAUUAUUAUAGUAUAUUUAGAAAAAUGUAAAAAUAAAUUCAUUCUAUAAAAUCAUAGAAAAUACAGAACAUCAAUAGCUUUAUUAUUAAGAAAAAAACAAAAAAUAGUAACUCAUCCUUCAAAUUCAAAAAAGUCAGAAAAAGAUGUUCUACACUGCUACCCUUUAGGAAAAUGCAAAUUAAAACCACAGUAAGAUACUGCUGUACACCUACAAGAAUGGCUAAAAUGAAAAACACUGAUGACACCAAAUGCUGGGCAAGGAAGCAGAAAAACUGGAUUUCUCAUACAUUGCUGAUGUGAGUGUAAAAUGGUACAACCACUGUGAAAAACAGUUCAGCAGUUUCUUUAGAACUAAACGUAAAAUUGUAUAGAACCCAGCAAUUGCACUCCCGGACAUUUACCUAGAGGUAUGCAAACUUAUUUUCACAUGAAAACCUGUGCACGAAUGUUUAUAUAGCUGUGUUUUAAUCAUGAUAGCCAAAAACUGUCAACAACCUAGAUGUCCUUCACCAAGUGAGUGUCUAAACAAAUCAUGGUACACCCAUAUCAAGAAAUACUACUUGGUGAUUAAAAAAAGAAUAAACUUAUAAACACAGCAGCCUGAAUGAAUCUCCAGGAUAGUAUCUUGAGAGAAAAAAAAAAAAAAGCCAAUCUCCAAAAGUUAUAUACUGUAUGGUUCCAUUUAUGUAAUAUUCUUGAAUUGACAAAAUAACAGAAAUGGAAGAUUAGUGGUUGUCAGGGGUUUAGGGUUACGAAGUUGUGGGGGAAUAGAGGCAGCUAUAUAAGAACACAGUGAAGCUUCCUUGUGGGGAGGAAAUGUACCUCGACUGUAUCAAUGUCAAUAUCCUGGUUGUGAUAUUGUCCUACAAAUUUGAAAGAUGUUACCACUAGAAGAAAACUGGGUAAAGGGCAUGCAAUAUCUCUCUGUAUUAUUUAUUACAACUGCAUGUGAACCAACAGUUAUCUAAAUAUUUAAAAAUUCAAUUAAAAUGAAGAAAAAUCAAAACCCGACUGAUCUAAGGAAAGCAACAUUCAUCAAAUAUGAGGGUAGUGAUAGAUUUGAAAACAUAAAAAUAAAACAAAGAAUCCAGGUUCUGUUUUAUACACACACACACAGAGAGAGAGAGAGAGAGAGAGAGAGAGAGAGAGAGAGAGAGAGAGAGAGAGAGAUAACAAAGCCCUAUGCAUCAAAUUGAAAAGAAAAAAUAUAGAAUAAAAAUAAAGUAAAAAAUAGUGGCUGUAAUUGCUCAGUCUGAGUUGGUGCGACAAGUCAGUUGUUAACUCUGGGCUCCCACCCUCUCCCAUCAGGAGAGGCUGCUUUCAAAAUUAACCUACUUUUGCAUCAGUGGCUGCUAUAUCACAGAUCCUAGAAGAUUGCCUGAUUUAUGAUACAUUUAUAUGUUAAUGGGCCUACAAACUAAUCUAUUGAAUGUUUAUUAUUUGGUUGGAAGGUACUAAGAUACACACUUUACUUACACACUUUCAUAUAAUUUUCUCAACAACUACAUUCAUCUGUUGAUGUUAUUAACAUCAACCUCAUUUUCCUAUUAAAAGAAACUGAGAGUGGAAAAGAUUAACGAAUGUCAUGAAUGCCCAAGGUCAAAAGACUAGUAUAUGAUUUGUAGCUAAGAUAAUCUGACUGCUAAAUCUACCUCCUCUAGAAUAUCUUAUUUAUAUGGAAUACCUUCACACAACUUUCAACUAAGAUGGGCAUGUAAGAGACAGAAAGAGGGAGAACAUCUGCUUUUAUAUAUUUGUAGAGAUUUAGGAAAGCUUUUGGUAUAAAUUUAAUAAUAUGUCAAUUUUACUAUAAUUAAUUCUCUUUUUAAUAUUAUAUUCAUGUCAAUCAUAUCCUCCUGUAUGCAAAAAUCACUAUUAUUAAUUUGUGGAGAUAUUUCAAGAGCAUUGAAGGUAGAGAGCAGUAUGAGGUAUUGUUGUUAUUCUAAUAUUUAUUAUUUAGAAUGUUCUCAUAUUUUGAAGAUAAGUUCCAGUCAUUAAUUAUUCCCUGUCAUGUUGCCUUGGUUACAAUUACUCAUAGUAACUGAAGCUGUUGGAUGUUGCAAGC